UCACGGCAACGCCGGAUCCUUAACCCACUGAGCAAGGGCAGGGACCGAACCCGCAACCUCAUGGUUCCUAGUCGGAUUCGUUAACCACGGCACCACGACGGGAACUCCGGCUUUAACUUUUCACUGAUAUCCGGUGACAUUUUUAAAGAUUUUUCAUAGCCCUUGUUUUCAGUAGUCUCUCCUUUUUCUCUGGUGAGAAUUGCAAGGAGCUCACACCUCAGAAGGCACAGAGAAAGAAUGCAGGUUCCACCAAGAAAGAAUUCCGUUCCCCAAAUCCAGUUUUUUUUGGACAUCUUUUCAAGCCUUUUGAGAUGAGCAGGGAGGUUUUGAGGGUUGGUAAAAAGCAUAAAUGAGCUUUGGAUUGUUUCUAGAGCUGCUUUACCAUUUGUUGUGAAGACUCGAUUUGUAAGACAAGUGUAGUUAUUUUCAAUUCUUCAAGGAAUUGGGUGGCAACCUGAAUGAUAUCAACGGGUUGCCCACCCACCCAGCGAUGGAUAGAAGUCAAAAAUGAUCUGUAUGUUCUAGGUGUCUAUGUGUCUUUGGAAUGUUUUAGUAAGUUCGUCCACAAAGGCUUCGUUUCCUUCUGGGUAUAUGGUUUCAUUCCAGCUUUGGAAAGAAAGCCAAAAAACAUUCCUAUCAGGUUCUGAGUAACAGCUUCCAAUUUGGCCAACUUCUGACCAUAAAACUACUUAAAAAAUAAAUCCUUUCAAAUAUCUUGUCAGGUUGCAGCCACAACAAACAGUAAAUAUUCCCGCAUAGUGAACAACCCCAUGACUGCAAGCAGCAUCCCCAGAAAGCUGCAAAGACACCUCCUCCUGAGAUCCAGAGCCACUCCUGACAAAGGCCUAAAGAAAGGAGGGGAAAAGUCCCCUGAGCGCUGGCAACAGUUGGUGGACCUGAGCCGCAAAUGAGGUGCAGCCCACACUUGUGUCUGGCCAUGUUUUGCCCUCAACCGCCACCCCCUGCCUGACAGUUUUUAAGCCAAGUUCUCAGGACCCAGAAGGAAACUGACAAGAAGGCACAGCGGCCUCCGGAGAGAGAGGAUCGAUGAUCGACAGCCAGUGAGUGGCCAAAAGCACAGUCACAUGUCACGACUCGAAGAACUAAUGCUCACGGAUGCUUUUGCCUGCUGGUCGGAAUUUGGAAAAGGACGCAAUGUAAAAUUUUACCUUCCUCUCAAGCAGGCAUCACAGUGGGGACUUGGCAGAGCUGACUUCAAUUAAGAAAUCUCACUCUGUGCCGGCUCUUGCAGUUUCCCCAGGAUCCCGUCUUCAGGUGCUGGAGCAAGCUGGGUGUCCCAGUGGGUGUCAUCCUGGUCACCAGAAACUGGAGGAGGAGAAGUGACUUCCCCUCUGCUCUUUACAGGCUUGGCGGCCACCAGCCCCCGAGGGGCGACUGCAGAAGGUCCACAUGGCCACCGCUAAAGGAAGAGCUGACAUCAGGAGGCGAGAGUCCAAUCUUCAAUUCUUUCAAGUGCCAUCAGAGACUUCAAACCAGGACUGCACGAGGCAGUGCAGGCGCCUCGGGGUCCACAACUGGAGAGACUGGAAUCCCGGGUAUCCUGUGGAACCUGCAGGCUGGGGAGCGAAGGGAGCUCCCUCAGGGCCCACACAGAAAGGACUGGCUGGCGUGACUUUACCUCGAAUGCGCUGUUACUACAGCUACUGCUUCCAAAAACGCAGCUGUUUGUGUGUAAUUCUAAUUAAUUUACAGAACUGAAAACUGGGUGGGGGGCAAAGUAUAUUAUUACAGUUUGGUAACAGAGUGGGUACACCUCAAAUACCAGGUUAAGUUAAAUCAAAAGAGGCCACCCCCCCCAGUCUCUGCUCUGAUGAUGACUCACAGAUGCCCCUUCCUCCGGCCUCCGCAGCUCCGCCUGUGUUCCCUGCUUCGCUCACUUCCCGUCUGUGCUGAUUUUACAUCCACCUCAGUGGAAUGUGUCUAUGCCCAGACCCCAGGGCACAAGUACCCAGGCGGGGAUGCAGGGAUGUGCCCCAAGGCCCACCUGUCCUAACACACAGGAGGCAGUCGGAGGCUCCCCAGAUCUACCCGAUGAGGUCAAGGUGCUCCAGUCUGCUGACUGCAAACCUGGAGAGCCCCAAAGUACCACGGCGACCUGGGGCCAUCCCAGCCGGGCUCAAGGCGCUGAGCUUCCGCUCAGCCCUUUGCUAAAGCACAUCCACGCAGCGUCUCCUCUGAUGCAGACGUGAGCGGACAGGCUUCACCAGCCCUUUUACCGAUGGAUGGGACAGGGGACUGCGGACCUGGGACCUAAGACCCAGGCUUGGCAGCCUCUCCUGCGGGUGAAAACCACAGGCCGAGCCCUGGACACACGCUCGCCCUCGGGAGACUGCCUGGGGCCUCGCUGCUGGCCAAGAGCAGACCCGGCCCAGGACCCACGCACAGCUAUCAAGGAAAUUACUAAACUAGUUAAAAGACAAGUAUUUUAACCUAGUUUUCCCAGUUCAUACUAAAAUAAUUAAUACAGGUCACCAAUUGCAUUUAUUGGCAGAUAUCUAGAAAACAGUUGAAAGUUUCUCUCUCUCUCUCUGUAUAGAUCUUAGUAAUAAAUUUUAUUUGGACGAGAGAACUUGUGCACAGCAGCUGAACAGCAUGAUUAAAGGCUGCGGCCCUCCCCAGAGUGGUCCCAGGUAUGUACAGCAUGGGAGACGAAGUUGCACCUCAGAGCCGAUCAUGAUCAAGUUAAAAACGCCUGCCGUACAGAACACGUGCUCAUAAAUUUCCUUCGGGUCAUGACCAGCAUGAAAAAGAAUCAGGACACAAAGACUCAGCAAAC